rnacentral:rRNA from 1 species
AUUGAACGCUGGCGGCAGGCCUAACACAUGCAAGUCGAACGGUAACAGGGAUCAGCUUGCUGAUUCGCUGACGAGUGGCGGACGGGUGAGUCAUGUCUGGGAAACUGCUUGAUGGAGGGGGAUAACUACUGGAAACGGUAGCUAAUACCGCAUAACGUCGCAAGACCAAAGAGGGGGACCUUCGGGCCUCUUGCCAUCGGCUGUGCCCAGAUGGGAUUAGCUAGUAGGUGGGGUAACGGCUCACCUAGGCGACGAUCCCUAGCUGGUCUGAGAGGAUGACCAGCCACACUGGAACUGAGACACGGUCCAGACUCCUAUGGGAGGCAGCAGUGGGGAAUAUUGCACAAUGGGCGCAAGCCUGAUGCAGCCAUGCCGCGUGUAUGAAGAAGGCCUUCGGGUUGUAAAGUACUGUCAGCGGGGAGGAAGGGAGUAAAGUUAAUACCUGUGCUCAUUGACGUUACCCGCAGAAGAAGCACCGGCUAACUCCGUG